AGAGUUUGAUCCUGGCUCAGAACGAACGCUGGCGGCGUGGAUAAGACAUGCAAGUCGAGCGCUGAUUGCAGGGUAGCAAUAUUCUGCAGUUGGAGCGGCGCAAGGGUGCGUAACACGUGGGCAAUCUACCGAGAAGUGGGGGAUAGCUCGCCGAAAGGCGAAUUAAUACCGCAUAUGACCCUGGGUAACCUUACCUGGGCGUUAAAGCCGGGGCAACCUGGCGCUUUUUGAUGAGCCCGCGGCCUAUCAGCUAGUUGGUGAGGUAACGGCUCACCAAGGCUAUGACGGGUAGCUGGUCUGAGAGGACGACCAGCCACACUGGAACUGAGACACGGUCCAGACACCUACGGGUGGCAGCAGUCGAGAAUUUUUCACAAUGGGGGAAACCCUGAUGGAGCGACGCCGCGUGGAGGAUGAAGGUCUUCGGAUUGUAAACUCCUGUCAUUGGUGAACAAGAUUUGCCGGGUAACUCCGUGCGGAUUUGCUAGUAGCCGAAGAGGAAGGGACGGCUAACUCUGUGCCAGCCGCCGCGGUAAUAC
rnacentral:rRNA from 1 species